rnacentral:rRNA from 11 species
UUGGCCGUAAAUAUUCCAAAGGCACCAGAUCCCAGCCGAUCUUAGAAGCUAAGCAGGAACAGCUCUGGUGACUAUUUGGGUGGCACUGUUGGUGCUAUUUUGGAGGAGGGAACUGGCCAAA